UACGGGGGGAGCAAGCGUUGUUCGGAUUUACUGGGCGUAAAGGGCGCGUAGGCGGCGCAACAAGUCACUUGUGAAAUCUCCGGGCUUAACCCGGAGCGGCCAAGUGAUACUGUCGUGCUAGAGUGCGGAAGGGGCAACUGGAAUUCUUGGUGUAGCGGUGAAAUGCGUAGAUAUCAAGAGGAACACCUGCGGCGAAGGCGGGUUGCUGGGCCGACACUGACGCUGAGGCGCGAAAGCCAGGGGAGCGAACGGG
rnacentral:rRNA from 1 species